CGUAGGUUGCAAGCGUUGUCCGGAUUUACUGGGUGUAAAGGGCGUGUAGGCGGAGAUGCAAGUCGGGAGUGAAAUCCAUGGGCUUAACCCAUGAACUGCUUUCGAAACUGUAUCCCUUGAGUAUCGGAGAGGCAAGCGGAAUUCCUAGUGUAGCGGUGAAAUGCGUAGAUAUUAGGAGGAACACCAGUGGCGAAGGCGGCUUGCUGGACGACAACUGACGCUGAGGCGCGAAAGCGUGGGAGCAAACAGGAUU
rnacentral:rRNA from 1 species